UGUAAUCGUUCUUCGAUGACCAAUCGAUUCCACGAAAAUCGUAGAUAAUCAAAUAGUCCAUUCGUUUAUCAAUCACCGGUACGCGAUAGUCGUUUUCGAUUUAAGAUCGUCGGAUCAAGCAAUUUCGAAAUUCCGAAAUUGUCAAAAAAUGUCAAAAAAUUUCCAAAAAAAAAACCUGAGACCAAACCCCGGCGACAUAUACAGACUAACCAUAUAAUAGCUUCAAGUGAAAAAAAAAAAAAAAUAUACAAAAAUAUAAAUUAAAAAACAUAUUAAACAACAAGACAAAGAAAGACGAAGGAUACCAAGCGAUACGUGAUGCAUAAAUAAGAAAACUAGAAAAUGAGAAAAAAGUCACGCGUCUCUGUGUGCGACGGUAGUUGACGGGAUGGUGUUACAUUUGACACCUCCAGCAUACGGCCCUGUCCACUGGAUUUACGUUGGUCUCUUCUUUCUAUUUCUCUUCCAUCUCCCUUUAAGUUUUACAAUCCUCUUCCCCGCCGGUAAUAAAAAUCCCAUAAGAGCUGCUACCGUCUUUCGGAGGGGAGAUUUACCUAUACCCGAAAAUUGAAGAGAGAAAAAAAAUGGAUCUUCUUCGAUCCCUUGGAAAAUAUCCGACUCUACCCAGACCGGAGAUACCACUUGAAUAAAGCAGCGCCUACAGAUACUCGAAGGGACGUACAGAAGGGUUUCCGAAGUGUGUUUCGGGGGUGGUCGUCCAGUGGAAUAUUUAGGCGGCGUGGACAAAGCCAAAAUAAUCCAGGGUUUCACACGUGCUGCAUCCUAUUCCUGAUCCCCGUUCGGAUCCUCGCAACAUAUACCGCUCAGAUCCUUCAUCAUCCGCGUAACGUGGCGGAGCAAUAAUUACCAGCCAAGAUCAGAGAGGCGUCAAGUGGACCGAAGUUCAUCCAUGAAUUAUACGAGGGAUGACCGGUAGGCGAGAUCCCUUGAUCCACGAUUUGGAAAUACGCGACUCUCCUGAAGGCUGUACCAGGGGUAUACCAUACACGGCAUUGG